rnacentral:rRNA from 1 species
UACGGAGGGUGCGAGCGUUAUCCGGAUUUACUGGGUUUAAAGGGUGUGUAGGCGGACUUUUAAGUCAGCGGUGAAAUCCCGGGGCUCAACCCCGGAACUGCCAUUGAUACUAUUGGUCUUGAAUAUUGUGGAGGUAUGCGGAAUGUGUCAUGUAGCGGUGAAAUGCUUAGAGAUGACACAGAACACCGAUUGCGAAGGCAGCGUACUACACAAUCAUUGACGCUGAGGCACGAAAGCGUGGGGAUCAAACAGG